GUAAAAGCACAGUGUCAGUAGGAUUUGGUUUGGGGUUGAAAGAAAGCUCCAGCAAGAUGGAGUUAAGACCAGGCACGGUGGCUUAUGCCUUUAAUCCCAGCACAUUGGGAGAACAGGGUGGACAGAUCAUCUGAGCUCAGGAGCUCGAGACCAGCCUGGCCAACGUGGUGAAACCCUGUCUCUAUAAAACAUACAAAAAUUUCCAGCCUGGCAAACAUGGCGAAACCCCGUCUCUACUAAAAAUACAAAAAAGUUAGCCGGGUGCCGUGGCUCAUGCCUAUAAUCCCAGUUUCUUGGGAGGCUGAGGUGGGAGAUUUGCUUGAACCUGGGAGGCGGAGGUUGCAGCAAGCCAAGAUUGUGCCACUGCACUCUAGCCUGGGCAACAGAGCAAGACUCUGGGAAAAAAAAAAAAAAAGAUUGAGUUAAAGUUAGGCUUUAAUUAGGCGUAGGAUUUUCUUAAUGUUGGUUGCUUUUAAGUUAAGAUUUGUAGUUGUCCAAGAAAUAAGAUUUGGGUUUGGUUUAGAGUUGGGUUAGCGAUUAGGUUCAUGUAAAAGCUAGAUUAGAGAGACACUGGACUGCAUUUAGGGCUAGAUGUAUCAUUUGUUCAAUGGGCAUUAGGAUUAGGAGCUGCUUGUAAUAGGCAAGGUUUGCUCACUUUGGUCAGGGAUUCUGAUAGAGUGGGAUCCCAUGGAGACUGGCCCAGUUUGAUUGAAAUCAGCCUCCAGCUCCAUUCCAGGCCACAAGGCUAUGAGGCCGGUAUGAGAUGGAUGGACAGGCCUCUUUGUCUGCCCAUCACCAGGCCUUGGUGCUAGUGAUGACACCGUCACUCAGCCAUGGUGUCCGGGCAUGGAGAAUGCCUCAGUCAGUACCCAGCCCAUUGGAACAAAAGAGGCUUCCCACCUGGCCUCCUGUGCCCCCAUUUAAGGGCUCCAGCCAUAGGAGUUUUGAUGGGAUUACUCACAUGGACCUCCUCCUUCCAUUCUCUUGGGAGGCUCAAGAAGGGAGUAAGGGGAUUAGCGGAGCCCUCCUGUCAGGAUACUUGAGGUGUCCGGGGCCCCAGAAUUCUCAGUGUCCUGGGGUGGAGGCGGGAGGCCAUCUGCAUAUGAAAGAACCUCAGUGUCUCAGGGGUGGAGGCUAAUGGGUUUAUUUUUCCUCAGAGGGACAAUCCUUCAGCUGGCAGUUGCUGUCUCAGCUCCCUCCCCACCAAGAAAGGAUGUGGGUGUUGGCUCAGAACUGCCCCCUCUUUGCUUUCUUUCCUCUCCUUUCCCACAGAUGCAGCUGUAUUUCUGUGCUCCACUUUCUCCUGGGCCUGGGCCUGGCGCAUGCUGCCAGCCACCUGCUCCGGCCUCAAACCCCAGCUCACAUAUUCCAAACCUUUAGCUCCAAAUCAGUAGAUAUCUGGGGCUGCCUAGACCUGGCUGAGGGCUUUCAGCACCUGGCCCCUUGUCCUAAGUGGAGUUUCACAGACCUGGGCACGUGGGCUGGGGCAGGGGCAGAGAGAGUCUGUGUCUCCCUACUCUUAAAGAGCUCCACGGGGCAAGCUCAGUGCCCACUCUCAGAAGCAGAGCCGGCACCUUCUGCCGUCUCUCCUCAGGCUUGCCUCCUGCACAGUGAGCUUUUUCUUCUCUCCUGUCCUAGCGAAGGGAAAGAACAGCAGCUCCCCAGGGUGGAUUCCCCUGGGCUUGCAGUAGGCAUCUGGAAUGGGCAUAAGCUGAGGGUGUGGGCCCGAGUCUGGGAAGGCCCUUGUGCUGCUGUGGGAGAGGAGCUCCCCACGCACGGCCCCUCACCUGUCACCGCUCUCUUUCCCAGGUCCAGAAAGCAGCCCAGGCCUUUAACUCCGGGCUGCUGUGUGUGGCAUGUGGUUCAUACCGACGGGGAAAGGCGACCUGUGGUGAUGUCGACGUGCUCAUCACUCACCCAGAUGGCCGGUCCCACCGGGGUAUCUUCAGCCGCCUCCUUGACAGUCUUCGGCAGGAAGGGUUCCUCACAGAUGACUUGGUGAGCCAAGAGGAGAAUGGUCAGCAACAGAAGUACUUGGGGGUGUGCCGGCUCCCAGGGCCAGGGCGGCGGCACCGGCGCCUGGACAUCAUCGUGGUGCCCUAUAGCGAGUUUGCCUGUGCCCUGCUCUACUUCACCGGCUCUGCACACUUCAACCGCUCCAUGCGAGCCCUGGCCAAAACCAAGGGCAUGAGUCUGUCAGAACAUGCCCUCAGCACUGCUGUGGUCCGGAACACCCAUGGCUGCAAGGUGGGGCCUGGCCGAGUGCUGCCCACUCCCACUGAGAAGGAUGUCUUCAGGCUCUUAGGCCUCCCCUACCGAGAACCUGCUGAGCGGGACUGGUGACCCAUGGCUGGGGGUGCUGAGGAGAGCCGAGUUGGACUGGCUACCCCUCCUGGCCACCCAGUACUCCCUCCAGCCUCAGCUGGCUGAACCUCGCCGCUCCAACCACCAGCUUCCUCAGCGAGCAGGGCCCAGGGCUCUGGGCCUGAAGCAAGAGCCAGCCCGGCUCCCAGUGUCUGCCCGGCUCCCAGUGUCUGCCCAGCCCUCUCCCAGACAGGAGCAGGCUGCCACCCCUUCUACCUCACCACUGCCCCUCGAAGAAUUUUGCAAAUGGCCCCUUGUCCCAUUUUAAGCAGGAGCAGGUGGCUGGUUUGAAGCCCCAGGUAUCCCCCUUCCCUGCUAUGGGAAAUGCCAAGCUGCUGGGUGGGGACAGAAGCUGCAGGGGAGAGGGAAGCAGCCGUGCUGUCAACAUCAUCCGGCACCCUCUGGGGUAGGAGAACAGCCAUUCCACACGUGUUCCCUCUAUCCAUCCUGCUUCCUGGGCAGCUGGUGGUGCUGGGAAUGGGGUGCGCCAGCCUUGGUGAGGACAGUGUUGGGAGGCUCAGGGGCCCAGUAAAGUGCAUUUGACAUUGAA
rnacentral:sRNA from 1 species